rnacentral:lncRNA from 1 species
UAAUCUUUUAAAUUGAGAAAUUAAAUGUUUUAUCAUAUUUCAUGCAUCAUGAUUAUGCAAUAGGAUGAUUGCAUUAGUUUUCACGAAUAUGCCGCAUUGCAUCGAUUGUUGUUGAUGUGGGUGAAUAUUGGAUGACCCAAUUAGUCCAUGACAGGAAGACCAGGACCCCAUUCUAUGGCCUGGCACAGAGUAAGGAAAGACCAG